rnacentral:rRNA from 1 species
AUUGAACGCUGGCGGCAUGCCUUACACAUGCAAGUCGAACGGUAACAGGUCUUCGGACGCUGACGAGUGGCGAACGGGUGAGUAAUACAUCGGAACGUGCCCAGUCGUGGGGGAUAACUACUCGAAAGAGUAGCUAAUACCGCAUACGAUCUGAGGAUGAAAGCGGGGGACCUUCGGGCCUCGCGCGACUGGAGCGGCCGAUGGCAGAUUAGGUAGUUGGUGGGAUAAAAGCUUACCAAGCCGACGAUCUGUAGCUGGUCUGAGAGGACGACCAGCCACACUGGGACUGAGACACGGCCCAGACUCCUACGGGAGGCAGCAGUGGGGAAUUUUGGACAAUGGGCGAAAGCCUGAUCCAGCAAUGCCGCGUGCAGGAUGAAGGCCUUCGGGUUGUAAACUGCUUUUGUACGGAACGAAAAAGCUCCUUCUAAUACAGGGGGCCCAUGACGGUACCGUAAGAAUAAGCACCGGCUAACUACGUGCCAGCCGCCGCCGUAA